rnacentral:rRNA from 1 species
GAUCCUGGCUCAGGAUGAACGCUAGCGACAGGCUUAACACAUGCAAGUCGAGGGGCAUCAUGAGGUAGCAAUACCUUGAUGGCGACCGGCGCACGGGUGAGUAACGCGUAUGCAACCUGCCUGAUACCGGGGUAUAGCCCAUGGAAACGUGGAUUAACACCCCAUAGUACUUUAUCUGCAUGGGAGUGUGAGGUUAAAAUUAAGUUUCUAAGGUAAGUUCGGAGUGGGCGAUGCGGUCCUACUUUAAG